GACGAACGCUGGCGGCGUGCUUAACACAUGCAAGUCGAACGGAAAGGCCCUGCUUUUGUGGGGUGCUCGAGUGGCGAACGGGUGAGUAACACGUGAGUAACCUGCCCUUGACUUUGGGAUAACUUCAGGAAACUGGGGCUAAUACCGGAUAGGAGCUCCUGCUGCAUGGUGGGGGUUGGAAAGUUUCGGUGGUUGGGGAUGGACUCGCGCCUUAUCAGCUUGUUGGUGGGGUAGUGGCCUACCAAGGCUUUGACGGGUAGCCGGCCUGAGAGGGUGACCGGCCACAUUGGGACUGAGAUACGGCCCAGUCUCCUACGGGAGGCAGCGGUGGGGAAUAUUGCACAAUGGGCGGAAGCCUGAUGCAGCAACGCCGCGUGCGGGAUGACGGCCUUCGGGUUGUAAACCGCUUUCGCCUGUGACGAAGCGUGAGUGACGGUAAUGGGUAAAGAAGCACCGGCUAACUACGUG
rnacentral:rRNA from 1 species